GAUGAACGCUGGCGGCGUGCCUAAUACAUGCAAGUCGAGCGAACAGACGAGGAGCUUGCUCCUCUGACGUUAGCGGCGGACGGGUGAGUAACACGUGGAUAACCUACCUAUAAGACUGGGAUAACUGCGGGAAACCGGAGCUAAUACCGGAUAAUAUAUUGAACUGCAUGGUUCAAUAGUGAAAGACGGUUUUGCUGUCACUUAUAGAUGGAUCCGCGCCGCAUUAGCUAGUUGGUAAGGUAACGGCUUACCAAGGCAACGAUGCGUAGCCGACCUGAGAGGGUGAUCGGCCACACUGGAACUGAGACACGGUCCAGACUCCUACGGGAGGCAGCAGUAGGGAAUCUUCCGCAAUGGGCGAAAGCCUGACGGAGCAACGCCGCGUGAGUGAUGAAGGUCUUCGGAUCGUAAAACUCUGUUAUUAGGGAAGAAAAAAAGUGUAAGUAACUAUGCACGUCUUGACGGUACCUAAUCAGAAAGCCACGGCUAACUACGUG
rnacentral:rRNA from 1 species